UGAGGGUCAGACCCUUCCACGUGACUCAGGCCACACCCGUCCCUGCGCUGGGCCUUCUCUCACUGGCACUGCCCGGCUCUCCUGGAGUUUGACUUUGGGGCAGCACAAGGAGGUGGCCUCCUCUGACCGGGUGGAGAGCUGCAGGACUUUGGCGGGGGCCCUGGACCCUGCCCUGGCCAUGCCCCCUGCUGCUUCCAUCAGAGCCGUGUGGAGCCGAGGGUGGGGCAGGGUGACUUCCCAGGUUGGCCCCAGCUGCGGACACGCUUGUGAAUCUUGAUGACACCCUAUUUUGAGGACAACGGUCCAACCACAGGACACAGCUGUCACUACUGGAAGUGUCCCCAGCACCUGCUAGGACAUGUGCUACGAUGCUUUGUCAGGCUUCUCCUGGGACAUCGCCACUCCACUCACAGGGACGGGGCUUGCCGGAGAAAGGUGGCCCACGCAGCUCCCUGUGGCACAACCCCAGGCGUGGGCGGGCGGGGGCCCGAGGAGGGUGCCACAGGGCUGCCGCCACCGCUGGGCUGAGGGACCAUGGGGGCGGGCAGCGCUGCUUAUGGAGUAGGUCCAAGGACGUGGGGCCACCUGGGGGUCCCGGUGUGCAGAGGGGCUGGGGCCCCCUGGUGAGGAG
rnacentral:lncRNA from 1 species